rnacentral:rRNA from 1 species
AGUGAAUAGAUACCCGGGUAGUCCUAGCCGUAAACGAUACUCGCUAGGUGUCGGCCACGGUGCGACCGUUGUCGGUGCCGUAGGGAAAGCCGUGAAGCGAGCCACCUGGGAAGUACGGCCGCAAGGCUGAAACUUAAAGGAAUUGGCGGGGGAGCACCACAACGGGUGGAGCUUGCGGUUUAAUUGGAUUCAACGCCGGAAAUCUUACCGGGACCGACAGCAAUAUGAAGGCCAGGCUGAGGACUUUGCCGGAUUAGCUGAGAGGUGGUGCAUGGCCGUCGUCAGUUCGUACUGUGAAAGCAUCCUGUUAAGUCAGGCAACGAGCGAGACCCACGCCCACAGUUGCCAGCGUACUCUCUGGAGUGACGGGUACACUGUGGGGACCGCCGCUGCUAAAGCGGAGGAAGGAAUGGGCAACGGUAGGUCAGUAUGCCCCGAAUAUCCCGGGCUACACGCGAGCUACAAUGGUUGGUACAAUGGGUAUCUACCCGAAAGGGACGGGAAUCUCCUAAAACCAAACUCUUAGUUCGGAUUGAGGGCGUGCAACUCGCCCUC